rnacentral:rRNA from 1 species
CGGGGUGCACCAGGCGCGAAAACUUUACAAUGCGGGAAACCGUGAUAAGGGGACACCGAGUGCCAGCAUCAUAUGCUGGCUGUCCAGGUGUGUAAAAUACACCUGUCAGCAAGGGCCGGGCAAGACCGGUGCCAGCCGCCGCGGUAACACCGGCGGCCCGAGUGGUGAUCGUGAUUAUUGGGUCUAAAGGGUCCGUAGCCGGUUUGGUCAGUCCUCCGGGAAAUCUGACGGCUCAACCGUUAGGCUUUCGGGGGAUACUGCCAGGCUUGGAACCGGGAGAGGUAAGAGGUACUACAGGGGUAGGAGUGAAAUCUUGUAAUCCCUGUGAGACCACCUGUGGCGAAGGCGUCUCACCAGAACGGGCUCGACGGUGAGGGACGAAAGCUGGGGGCACGAACCGGAUUAGAUACCCGGGUAGUCCCAGCCGUAAACGAUGCUCGCUAGGUGUCAGGCAUGGCGCGACCGUGUCUGGUGCCGCAGGGAAGCCGUGAAGCGAGCCACCUGGGAAGUACGGCCGCAAGGCUGAAACUUAAAGGAAUUGGCGGGGGAGCACAAGGGCGAAUCGCG